AUUUGACUUGUGAGUCCUCGGAAGACCUCCGGCUUCUCAAUGCCUGACGUCUAAGCAGAGACUGGAAUGUCCAAUGAGUGCGUUUCCAAGUUCAUAUGUCUUUGAUCUUUGUCAUCUGGUCACAUGUACGGAAGAUUUAAACCCAAGGAAUCCUGGAGCAAAGCUGCCGAUGAACCUCAGCGAGAAUGAACUCUAAAAAUGAAGCAGGUCAGCCUAUCUGCUUGGACACGCCGCUGACUCUGCGUGGCUGACCUUGGAACCUCACCUGACAUGAGGCAUUUACCAGCACAGUGAGCCACGUGGGACUUACAGGUCACUGCCAUGAAGUAACACUUACACAACUACCCCCCACCCCCUCAAAGAAAAAAAACAAAACAAAAUAGAUCUCAGCGUCAUGUCAACAUCUCAACUAGCAACUUUGUGUAUACAUUUUUAUAUUUUGUGCUUUUUUGACCUCAUAUAGUACCACCUUUUGGCAGCUAUAAUAAAGCUUUCCACUACUUCUAAAUAAAGACAA